AUGAACGCUAGCGACAGGCUUAACACAUGCAAGUCGAGGGGCAGCACAGGUAGCAAUACCGGGUGGCGACCGGCGCACGGGUGAGUAACGCGUAUGCAACUUGCCUAUCAGAGGGGGAUAACCCGGCGAAAGUCGGACUAAUACCGCAUGAAGCAGGGAUCCCGCAUGGGAAUAUUUGCUAAAGAUUCAUCGCUGAUAGAUAGGCAUGCGUUCCAUUAGGCAGUUGGCGGGGUAACGGCCCACCAAACCGACGAUGGAUAGGGGUUCUGAGAGGAAGGUCCCCCACAUUGGUACUGAGACACGGACCAAACUCCUACGGGAGGCAGCAGUGAGGAAUAUUGGUCAAUGGCCGAGAGGCUGAACCAGCCAAGUCGCGUGAGGGAUGAAGGUUCUAUGGAUCGUAAACCUCUUUUAUAAGGGAAUAAAGUGCGGGACGUGUCCCGUUUUGUAUGUACCUUAUGAAUAAGGAUCGGCUAACUCCGUGCCAGCAGCCGCGGUAAUACGGAGGAUCCGAGCGUUAUCCGGAUUUAUUGGGUUUAAAGGGUGCGUAGGCGGCCUUUUAAGUCAGCGGUGAAAGUCUGUGGCUCAACCAUAGAAUUGCCGUUGAAACUGGGAGGCUUGAGUAUGUUUGAGGCAGGCGGAAUGCGUGGUGUAGCGGUGAAAUGCAUAGAUAUCACGCAGAACCCCGAUUGCGAAGGCAGCCUGCCAAGCCAUUACUGACGCUGAUGCACGAAAGCGUGGGGAUCAAACAGGAUUAGAUACCCUGGUAGUCCACGCAGUAAACGAUGAUCACUAGCUGUUUGCGAUACACUGUAAGCGGCACAGCGAAAGCGUUAAGUGAUCCACCUGGGGAGUACGCCGGCAACGGUGAAACUCAAAGGAAUUGACGGGGGCCCGCACAAGCGGAGGAACAUGUGGUUUAAUUCGAUGAUACGCGAGGAACCUUACCCGGGUUUGAACGCAUUCGGACCGAGGUGGAAACACCUUUUCUAGCAAUAGCCGUUUGCGAGGUGUUGCAUGGUUGUCGUCAGCUCGUGCCGUGAGGUGUCGGCUUAAGUGCCAUAACGAGCGCAACCCUUGCCACUAGUUACUAACAGGUAAAGCUGAGGACUCUGGUGGGACUGCCAGCGUAAGCUGCGAGGAAGGCGGGGAUGACGUCAAAUCAGCACGGCCCUUACAUCCGGGGCGACACACGUGUUACAAUGGCGUGGACAAAGGGAGGCCACCUGGCGACAGGGAGCGAAUCCCCAAACCACGUCUCAGUUCGGAUCGGAGUCUGCAACCCGACUCCGUGAAGCUGGAUUCGCUAGUAAUCGCGCAUCAGCCAUGGCGCGGUGAAUACGUUCCCGGGCCUUGUACACACCGCCCGUCAAGCCAUGGGAGCCGGGGGUACCUGAAGUCCGUAACCGCGAGGAUCGGCCUAGGGUAAAACUGGUGACUGGGGCU
rnacentral:rRNA from 1 species